GGCGAACGGGGUGAUUAACCCNUUGGAUAUCUACCCUGAGGUGGGGGAUAACCCGGGGAAACUCNGGCUAAUACCGCAUGAUACCGAGAGGUCAAAGGGGGCAGCAAUGCUCUCGCCGUGGGAUGAGUCUGCGUCCNAUUAGCUAGUUGGUGAGGUAAUGGCUCACCAAGGCGACNAUCGGUAGCCGGCCUGAGAGGGUGAUCGGCCACACUGGAACUGANACACGGUCCANACUCCUACGGGAGGCAGCAGUGGGGAAUUUUGCNCAAUGGGCGAAAGCCUGACCCACCACCCCCCGUGNAGGAUGAAGGUUUNCGGAUUGUAAACUCCUGUCAGUGGGGGA
rnacentral:rRNA from 1 species